GUUACACGUUCACACGUACACACUUUUUGUCAAAGGAAGCGAGGUUUGGAAAUCAGUGGAACAAACUAUGUGGCGCACAGGAAUGUUAGCGCGGUGUAACGAGGAUGAGCCGGAGGGGCGAAGUCAACCAGACACAUCCUCAGGAAAAGAGUGGAUUAUUUUUUUCCCCCUUCGGUUUCUCUGUCCAGCUUCAUCUUCAGCCAGCAGUAGCCAUGUGUAUCACAUCAUAACACACCCGGCAGUGAGUUUUCCAAGCAGGGGUUGGGUGUCCAUAUUUCCCUAGCAGUAGCAGUAAUGAAUCGUUUUGUUUUUCCACUGAGGGUACUGUUCGUUCUGUGGGAACAAUGCGCCGUAGGUGUAUUAAUAACUGCUGACUUUUUAGUGUUUGUUUCCCCGAGUUCUAUGUAAAAUGUUUGGUCGUAUCCUGGCGUAAGCGUUAACCAGUUACGAGGCUGUCCUGCUGAUUAGGCUUUCUUCAGAACUGUGUUCGCUCUUGAACAGGCUCAAACCGAUUGACUAGCAAGACAAAGCUAACCUAGUUAGUCGUCUGUGAUCGUUCUACUGCUGGGGAGUUAUAUCCAUUAUAUCCUGUCCUGAGGUUUGGUGCUUUAUAGUAUAAUAUAGGUUUGUAUUGCAAUCCAGUGUGCUUCUUAGACUUUUAGGCCACGCCCAAACACUUUGGACAGGAAGAUUGCAGUCCAGUGUGCUUAUUAGAAUAUUAGGCCACGCCCAAACACUUUGGACAGGAAGAUUGCAGUCCAGUGUGCUUAUUAGAAUAUUAGGCCACGCCCAAAUACUUUGGACAGGAAGAUUGCAGUCCAGUGUGCUUAUUAGAAUAUUAGGCCACGCCCAAAUGCUUUGGCCAGGAAGAUGGAAACCAAGCGUGCUUAUCUCAGAAAUGUGUAUUGUGAAAUAAUUCAUCACAUCACCCAGGCCUAGUUUUCACUUUACCAAAAUUAAAAGGAUUUAAAGGAUGACGCGUGUAUUAAAAAAAAUAAAUGAAAGGCGUGACAGUAUAUACAAAAGAAAGCCCAGACCUAAAGCUUGUUGUCUCAUGGGUUUAGAAAACUGUGCUAUGUGAGAGCUAUAAAAAUGAUGGUUUGUGCUUUUGAGAUAUUAUACUUGAACCUUUCUGGAGAUAAGGGAGACGUGUACAGCUGGAACAUUUUGUGCUGGACUGCUGGCCAAUGAAGAAAGCACAUUUCCAGCCUUCUGGUGCCAGAAUUUCUGGUACUUUUGUAUAUAUUAGAUUAGAUUUCACGAAGACCUCAAGAGCGGAAUCUCGGCGUCGUGAGACCCACCGCCGGACCUUUCACCUCAUGAACUCCGCUGUGCGCUUGAAUCAUUUCCCGUCUCCAUCGUAGAUAAAAGUGUCUCCCACAAGAAUCGAUGUAAACGUCACCUUUUCAUUUCCAUGUAUGCAAAAUCUGGGGCCUCGCUCGGUGCCGGCGAUGUUAGAGUGGCAGGGGUGGAGAUGGUUUGAAUGGCGGUAUUGAUUCUCUGCGUACAGAUCUCCAGUGUCUCUGAACAAUGGGACACUUUGGCCCGGUCUCCGAGUGGCUCCGUGUUUCGACAUGUCGUGUGUCAUAUGUGGGUUUCUGAAACACUGGGCUGCAUCUAGCACAGCCUGCGCCGGGAUAUGACCUCAUGUUUCUAUGGUUUCUCAAGUCUUAGUCAUUGCAAAAUUUUGAAAUGACCCUUUGACCCG
ensembl:lncRNA